rnacentral:misc_RNA from 1 species
UUUCUGUAGGUGAACCUGCGGAAGGAUCAUUAUCGUACAAAAUGUGAGGGCAUGCGAGGGCUGUCGCUGACCCGAAAGGUCGUGCACGCCCGAGUGCCCUCACACACAUCCAUCUCACCCCUAUGUGCACCACCGCGUGGGUCCCCCUUUGGCUUGUUCGGAGGGGGGCUUACGUUUUCACACAAACUUUGUAUGCAGUGUAGAAUGUAUUUUUUGUUUUUGCGAUCACGCAAUCAAUACAACUUUCAACAACGGAUCUCUUGGCUCUC